rnacentral:lncRNA from 10 species
UUUUCUCAUUACAUCUGGAAAAACUUCAGCCAUUAUUUUUGCUUAUAUUGUGGUAUGUCAUAGGAAGAUGAUAAAAUAAAAAUUAAUUUGAUGGUUUUCUAGGAGGUUAUAGUGUAAAAUAACUAUCUCCGUUUUAGAAUUGAGUGCUAGACAGUUUCUGUGUAGAUGACCUCAUAAGCUUCCUUUUAUCAAACAGUGAUCACUUUUUUGGUUUGCCUGCUGAGAAGUAUGGCAUCAAGUAUAAUACCAAUAUGAGGUGUUUAAGAACUUAGUAUAUUUCUUAUGUACAUUUUACUAUAUACUAUAAUUAUACAUUAAAAAUGCACAUUGUAAAUAUAAAUAUGCAUAAUACAUUGUUAAUUGUUUGGAUACCAAAAGUAUGACUUGACAUUUGUUUUUUAAACCAUAUUCAAAAUAACUCUUUGUAUCAGAAUACGGAUUUAACGGAUUAAAUUGCAUAAUUGGUGAGCUACUGAUUAUUGUUAUUUGGAUGCUUCUUUAAGUUAGCAACUUUAUAUUGUGGUCCUUCAAUAUAGACUACUUAUUUCAUUUCAGAGAACUCAAUUUCCUGCAUCUACUGAGUCUCAAAACCCCAGCAGAAAAAAGAUUCAGGACAUUCUGAAGGUGCUGGUGUCCAACCUUCACCAUUCCAGUGGGGUAGUGCUCCCGCAUUGGGCAAGUGGAAGUCCUCUUCCAACUCCUCCUCUCUGCAUGCGCCUCAGAGCCGGUACCAAGAACUGGAAGUAGCCCUGGACUCAAGCUCUGCAACAAUCAAUCAACUCAAUGAAAACGUAGAAUCAUUGAAACAACAGAAGAAACAAGUGGAACAUCAGCUGGAAGAAGAAAAGAAAGCAAACAAUGACAUACACAAAGCACAGACGGAGCAGUUAGAGACAAUCAACAUCCUCACAUUGGAAAAGGCAGACUUGAAGACCACCCUUUACCAUACUAAACGUGCCGCCAGACACUUCGAAGGUGAGAACGUGGGCACCCCAUCAUCC